rnacentral:rRNA from 1 species
UACGAAGGGGGCUAGCGCUGCUCGGAAUCACUGGGCGUAAAGGGUGCGUAGGCGGGUUUUUAAGUCAGAGGUGAAAUCCUGGAGCUCAACUCCAGAACUGCCUUUGAUACUGAAGAUCUUGAGUAUGGGAGAGGUGAGUGGAACUGCGAGUGUAGAGGUGAAAUUCGUAGAUAUUCGCAAGAACACCAGUGGCGAAGGCGGCUCACUGGCCCAUUACUGACGCUGAGGAGCGAAAGCGUGGGGAGCAAACAGG